rnacentral:rRNA from 1 species
UACGUAGGGGGCAAGCGUUGUCCGGAUUUAUUGGGCGUAAAGGGCGUGUAGGCGGCCAACUAAGUCCGACGUGAAAUCCCCAGGCUUAACCUGGGAACUGCGUCGGAUACUGGAUGGCUUGAAUCCGGGAGAGGGAUGCAGAAUUCCAGGUGUAGCGGUGAAAUGCGUAGAUAUCUGGAGGAAUACCGGUGGCGAAGGCGGCAUCCUGGACCGGCAUUGACGCUGAAGCGCGAAAGCUAGGGGAGCAAACGGG